ACUGGGUUCAAAUCUGUCGCUCGUUUAACUUGAUCUUCAGCCAUUUUGACCUGUGCUUCAAGUUCAUUUAGCUGUGCCUGUUUUCUUCUUCUUGAACGUCUGGCUGACUCUCGAUUUGACUGCAUCCUCCUUGCACGUUUUUCAUCAGCAGGAUCCAUAUGUUCAUUGGUUCCUGUAUCUCCAUCAAGAUCAUCAUCAUCUGAAUCCUCUCUUGAAGAACCGCUGGUUGUUUGCCUCGCUGGUAUCUCUUGUUUUCUCUGUGUAGAAGUUAAUGCUGGAAGGCGAAGUGAUCCACCAUCAGCGUCACUCUGUGCCUUGGAUAUACCAUUACCAUUACCAUUACCAUUACCAUUACCACAAAAUUGUGAUCCUGGCGGCAAAUUCUUGGCAGCCUCCGUUUGAUCCUCAGCUAAAGAAGAAACACCUUCAGGCUUUACACUCGAUUCCCGAGACUUGGCCGCAGCAGCACAGGCGAGAUCGAGCUGGGACUUGAGGAAAGCGCGGUAGUCUUCUGAAUCAGUCGGAGCCAAUGAAGCGCGAUCCAACGGCUGAGGCAGAAAAUUACGAGGAAGAGAAGCAGGAGGAGGAAGAGGAUGAAUUUCAGGCUUUUCGAUCUCCACCACAUCGUCUUCACCAUUCCGCGGCUUCGAUAAAGUCGGUGAUUGGGAGACCGCAGAAGGAACAGCGGUGUUGUCGCUAGCGGAUGAGGAAGUAGGGGCCGGGAAUUCUUCUAGAAACUUUUCCAGCUCCCACUCCGAUGCACUCCUACUCAUCACCGGCGGAUGAGCGGUCACCGUGGCCUGCCAUGACAGAUCGGAGAAAUCGUCGACCGAAAAUAUACUAUUCAUCGGGUUUUUUUUUUUUUUUAAUCUUUCUUCUUCU
rnacentral:misc_RNA from 1 species